rnacentral:rRNA from 1 species
AUUGAACGCUGGCGGCAGGCCUAACACAUGCACGUCGAACGAGUCGCGGACGGGUGAGUAAUUUCUGGGAAUCUGCCCGAUGGAGGGGGAUAACUACUGGAAACGGUAGCUAAUACCGCAUACCAUCGGAUGUGCCCAGAUGGGAUUAGCUAGUAGGUGGGGUAAUGGCUCACCUAGGCCACGAUCCCUAGCUGGUCUGAGAGGAUGACAAGACACACUGGAAUGCAGAAACGGUCCAGACUCCUACGGGAAGCAGCAGUGGGGAAUAUUGCACAAUGGGAGCAAGCCUGAUGAAGCCAUGCCGCGUGUAUGAAGAAGGCCUUCGGGUUGUAAGAUACUUUCAGCGGGGAGGCGUUACCCGCAGAAGAAGCACCGGCUAACUCCGUGCCAGCAGCCGCGGUAAUAC